rnacentral:tRNA from 7 species
UAGGAAGUAAUAUAAGGGGAGUAUGGAGGGUUUUGAUCUCUUUUGUGCAGGUUCGAUUCCUGUCUUCCUAA